GCCAUAAGGCUUAGUUAUUUUUGGAAAGUAACUUGGACCUCUGGCAGUGUAUUGAAAGUUGCAUCACCUAAAGUAAAAAAAAAAUAAAUAUUGUUAUAAGAAUGAAGACAUUUUAUAGUUUCAAACAUGAAGUCUGAUAAUACAACGCCGAUCGUAACCAGGGGAUAUUUAAAUGAGUGAAAAAAACAA